UCUUCCUCCUCCUCCUCCCUCUGCCAGCCAUUUCGGCAGCUUGCUCUCGGUUCCCUGCCCGCACCCUGGCGUGAGGUGGAGCCGUUUUGCCAUCUUCAAGAAGGAGCAAUUGCCCUUUCCCCAGAAGUGUUUUGCUGUGAGCCAGUGAAGAAAGUUUGAUGGAAAGCAAGCUGGAUCCGAAACUACGGUGACCUCCUCUGUGAGGCUUUGUUAGUCCUCGGAGCUUGCAGAAGAGAUGUACGGGGAUUUUAACGUGAGAUUGCUGUGUGCCACUGCAGCAUUUCAAGUGCCUCUGCUCGCAGCAUUGGGGAGAUGUUUCUGUUCCUGUCUCUUGCUGGGAAGAAAAUGCAACAAUGCUCUCUAGAGGCAGAAGAAGUCAAGAAGAGGAACUCUUGUGCAUUUACAGCCCUGUGUGGCAGGAGCGAUGCAAAGUCCGUGACGUCUCAAGGAGGUUGCCCUGAGUCUGGAAAGCGCAUUGGGAACUGGAGGACGAGGCGAUGCUGGGCCCAGAGAGCUGACAGAGCCUUGCUGUGGGUCUGCGCUGCCCUGAGGAUGGGACUGAAGAGCUUUUGCUACGUGCAGUCUGCGAGUCAAGGUGAGAUGCACAGGGCUUUGUGCUUCCUCUGCCAUGCUCCG